rnacentral:rRNA from 1 species
AUUGAACGCUGGCGGCAGGCCUAACACGUGCAAGUCGAGCGGUUGACGGGAGCUUGCUCCCUGAUUCAGCGGCGGACGGGUGAGUAAUGCCUAGGAAUCUGCCUAUUAGUGGGGGACAACGUUUCGAAAGGAACGCUAAUACCGCAUACGUCCUACGGGAGAAAGCAGGGGACCUUCGGGCCUUGCGCUAAUAGAUGAGCCUAGGUCGGAUUAGCUUGUUGGUGAGGUAAUGGCUCACCAAGGCGACGAUCCGUAACUGGUCUGAGAGGAUGAUCAGUCACACUGGAACUGAGGCACGGUCCAGACUCCUACUGGAGGCAGCAGUGGGGAAUAUUGGACAAUGGGCGAAAGCCUGAUCCAGCCAUGCCGCGUGUGUGAAGAAGGUCUUCGGAUUGUAAAGCACUUUAAGUUGGGAGGAAGGGUUGUAGAUUAAUACUCUGCAAUUUUGACGUUACCGACAGAAUAAGCACCGGCUAACUCUGUGCCAGCCGCCGCAGUAACAC